rnacentral:rRNA from 1 species
UACGUAGGGUGCGAGCGUUAAUCGGAAUUACUGGGCGUAAAGCGUGCGCAGGCGGUUCGUCGUGUCUGAUGUGAAAUCCCCGGGCUCAACCUGGGAAUGGCAAUGGAUACUGGCGAGCUAGAGUGUGAUAGAGGAUGGUGGAAUUCCCGGUGUAGCGGUGAAAUGCGUAGAGAUCGGGAGGAACAUCAGUGGCGAAGGCGGCCAUCUGGAUCAACACUGACGCUGAAGCACGAAAGCGUGGGGAGCAAACAGG